AGAGUUUGAUCCUGGCUCAGAUUGAACGCUGGCGGUAUGCUUUACACAUGCAAGUCGAACGGCAGCAUAGGUGCUUGCACCUGAUGGCGAGUGGCGAACGGGUGAGUAAUGCAUCGGAACGUGCCCAGUCGUGGGGGAUAACGCAGCGAAAGCUGUGCUAAUACCGCAUACGAUCUAUGGAUGAAAGCGGGGGACCGUAGGGCCUCGCGCGAUUGGAGCGGCCGAUGUCAGAUUAGGUAGUUGGUGGGGUAAAGGCUCACCAAGCCAACGAUCUGUAGCUGGUCUGAGAGGACGACCAGCCACACUGGAACUGAGACACGGUCCAGACUCCUACGGGAGGCAGCAGUGGGGAAUUUUGGACAAUGGGCGAAAGCCUGAUCCAGCCAUUCCGCGUGCAGGAUGAAGGCCCUCGGGUUGUAAACUGCUUUUGUACGGAACGAAAAGGUUUCUAUUAAUACUAGGAGCUCAUGACGGUACCGUAAGAAUAAGCACCGGCUAACUACGUGCCAGCAGCCGCGGUAAUACGUAGGGUGCAAGCGUUAAUCGGAAUUACUGGGCGUAAAGCGUGCGCAGGCGGUUUUGUAAGACAGACGUGAAAUCCCCGGGCUCAACCUGGGAACUGCCUUUGUGACUGCAUAGCUAGAGUACGGUAGAGGGGGAUGGAAUUCCGCGUGUAGCAGUGAAAUGCGUAGAUAUGCGGAGGAACACCGAUGGCGAAGGCAAUCCCCUGGACCUGCACUGACGCUCAUGCACGAAAGCGUGGGGAGCAAACAGGAUUAGAUACCCUGGUAGUCCACGCCCUAAACGAUGUCAACU
rnacentral:rRNA from 1 species